rnacentral:rRNA from 1 species
ACGAACGCUGGCGGCGUGCUUAACACAUGCAAGUCGAACGGUGAAGCGCCUUCCUUUUUGGUGGGUGUGGAUGAGUGGCGAACGGGUGAGUAACACGUGAGUAACCUGCCCCCUUCUUCUGGAUAACCGCAUGAAAGUGUGGCUAAUACGGGAUAUUCUGGGUCUGUCGCAUGAUGGGUCUGGGAAAGAUAUUGUUUCGGUGGGGGAUGGGCUCGCGGCCUAUCAGCUUGUUGGUGGGGUGAUGGCCUACCAAGGCGGUGACGGGUAGCCGGCCUGAGAGGGUGGACGGUCACACUGGGACUGAGACACGGCCCAGACUCCUACGGGAGGCAGCAGUGGGGAAUAUUGCACAGUGGGCGCAAGCCUGAUGCAGCGACGCCGCGUGAGGGAUGGAGGCCUUCGGGUUGUUAACCUCUUUCGCCAGUGAAGCAGGCCUGCCUCGUUUGUGGGUGGGUUGACGGUAGCUGGAUAAGAAGCGCCGGCUAACUACGUG